AGCAGUGUGGUGUAGUGGUUUGAAUGUUGGACUAGCAUACUGAGGGACCAGGGUUCGAAUCCCCACUCAGCCA